GGCCUAUUAGUGCCAAGGGGUACACUAGACUUUGGUGCUAGGUGUUAGUUUAAUACUAUAGGUGA
rnacentral:tRNA from 1 species